rnacentral:rRNA from 1 species
AGUGAACGCUGGCGGUAGGCCUAACACAUGCAAGUCGAACGGCAGCACAGUAAGAGCUUGCUCUUACGGGUGGCGAGUGGCGGACGGGUGAGGAAUACAUCGGAAUCUACUUUUUCGUGGGGGAUAACGUAGGGAAACUUACGCUAAUACCGCAUACGACCUACGGGUGAAAGCAGGGGAUCUUCGGACCUUGCGCGAUUGAAUGAGCCGAUGUCGGAUUAGCUAGUUGGCGGGGUAAAGGCCCACCAAGGCGACGAUCCGUAGCUGGUCUGAGAGGAUGAUCCGCCACACUGGAACUGAGACACGGUCCAGACUCCUACGGGAGGCAGCAGUGGGGAAUAUUGGACAAGGGGCGCAAGCCUUAUCCAGCCAUUCCGCGUGGGUGAAGAAGGCCUUCGGGUUGUAAAGCCCUUUUGUUGGGAAAGAAAAGCAGCAGGUUAAUACCCCGCUGUUCUGACGGUACCCAAAGAAUAAGCACCGGCUAACUUCGUG